AACGAACGCUGGCGGCAUGCCUAACACAUGCAAGUCGAACGAGACCUUCGGGUCUAGUGGCGCACGGGUGCGUAACGCGUGGGAACCUGCCCUUAGGUUCGGAAUAACUCCCCGAAAGGGGUGCUAAUACCGGAUAAUGUCUUCGGACCAAAGAUUUAUCGCCUUUGGAUGGGCCCGCGUUGGAUUAGCUAGUUGGUAGUGUAAAAGCCUACCAAGGCGACGAUCCAUAGCUGGUCUGAGAGGAUGAUCAGCCACACUGGGACUGAGACACGGCCCAGACUCCUACGGGAGGCAGCAGUGGGGAAUAUUGGACAAUGGGCGAAAGCCUGAUACAGCAAUGCCGCGUGAGUGAUGAAGGCCUUAGGGUUGUAAAGCUCUUUUAACCGGGAUGAUAAUGACAGUACCGGGAGAAUAAGCUCCGGCUAACUCCGUG
rnacentral:rRNA from 1 species